rnacentral:misc_RNA from 1 species
UCUCCGUUGGUGAACCAGCGGAGGGAUCAUUACUGGAAUCGCAAGAUCCCACAACCCUGUGAACCUACCGAAACGUUGCCUCGGCGGGUGCCUGACCCCCGCGCCGGGCGCUGCGCCCGCCGGCGGCCCCCUACUCUGUCUCUGCAGCGUGGCAUCUCAGAGUCCCAGAAAACAAGUCAAAACUUUCAACAACGGAUCUCUUGGCUCUA